rnacentral:rRNA from 1 species
CGAGCGUUGUCCGGAUUCAUUGGGCGUAAAGAGCUCGUAGGCGGCUUGUCACGUCGGAUGUGAAAGCCCGAGGCUUAACCUCGGGUCUGCAUUCGAUACGGGCUAGCUAGAGUGUGGUAGGGGAGAGCGGAAUUCCUGGUGUAGCGGUGAAAUGCGCAGAUAUCAGGAGGAACACCGGUGGCGAAGGCGGAUCUCUGGGCCAUUACUGACGCUGAGGAGCGAAAGCGUGGGGAGCGAACAGG